rnacentral:rRNA from 1 species
UUAAAAUGUAUUUGGUUGGCUUGAGUAGUAUUAGUUAUGUUCUUGAAACUUAAAAAAUUUGGCGGUAUUUUAGUCUAAUCAGAGGAACCUGUUCCAUAAUCGAUAAUCCACGAUGGACCUUACUUAAAUUUGUUUAGUUUAUAUACCGUCGUUAUGAAAAACUUUUUUAGAAUAAUAGUUUUUAAUAAUUUUUAUUAAAAUUUAUAUCAGAUCAAGGUGUAGCUUAUGUUUAAGUGGUAAUGGGUUACAAUAAAAUUAUUUAUAUGGAUUUUUUAUUGAAAAUGAAAAUGAAGGUGGAUUUGACAGUAAAAAUUUAUAGAUUAAAAUUUUGAAAUUAGCUCUAAAAUAUGUAC